AUGGACGCCAACUGGCGGCCCACCCAAGGGUCGGACCCCGCCGCCCUAGGCGAUUGGCGCGCCCAGCUCCAGCCCGAGGCGCGCAGCAGGGUCGUCAAUAAGAUAUUGGAGACUCUGAGGAAGGUCCUGCCAGUAUCUGUGCCAGACGAACUGAACGAACUUCAAGAAGUCGCCAGGCAAUUCGAAGACAAGAUCUACACUGAAGCAACCAAUCAGUCUGAUUAUGUGCGGAAGAUAUCUCUGAAAAUGGUCUCUAUGGAGACGAACAGACAACAGGCUCAUGGAAAUGCUCAAGUGAUUCCAAAUCAAAACAACUCAGCUCCUGCACUCCCUCCACAAGGCAGAAAUCAAGCACAGACAACAAAGAGACAAUCUUCACAGCAACCCAUGAUGCAAAUGUUGUCUGGCCUUCACCCUGGGCAGUCCACCAUUCCACAGACACAGCCAAUGGCCAUGCAGUCGGCUACUCAGAGUGGUACUCAACAGAAUCAAUUGAAUUUCGUACAACAGUCUGUGCAAUCAUUACUCCACCAACCUCAGCAAACUGUUGGGAGGCAGCAGCAACAAGCACAUCCCUCCAUUCAUCAACAGCCUUCGCUGCAUAGUCAGCAGCCCAAUAUUCCUUUACAGCAGCAGCAACAGCAGUUGAUGGGGCACCAGCCAAAUUUACAACAAGAUCAGCUAAUUGGUCAACAUAAUGGUGCUGUGGAGAUGCAGGAGCAACAGAGGCUACCAGUUCAGUCAAAUAUUCUUUUGAACGUGCAGCAAACACAGCAGAUGUUGAAUCAGCCGUAUAUGCUUCUGCAUCAGACACAUCAAUUGGGCUCUCAGGCAAACAUGGCGAGUCUACAGCAUCAGCAACUUCUUGGAACUGUGCCUUACAUGCUCUUGCAACAAAAUAACAUGGAUCCGAUUCAGGCACAGAGAGGCCUUCAAGAAGUUUCCUCUAGUAGUCAUGAAGAUGCAGAUGCAGAUUAUUGGCAAGAGGAGAUAUAUCAAAUGGUCAAGAUGUUGAAGGACCAAUACUUUGCAGACCUUAGUGAACUGUUCAAUAAGAUAUGUGUGAAGCUACAGCAUGUUGAGAGCAUUAUACCACCUCCGAUUCCAUCCGAGCAGUAUGAUAGAAUGAAGAGCUUUAAAACAUUGUUGGAACGUAUAUUACAGAUGCUGCAAAUUAGCAAGAGUAUCAUCCAACCUGCCAUGAGGGACAGAGUUCCGCAAUACGAGAAACAGAUUAUCACUAUCUUGAAUUGUCUAAGGAAGGCAGUGCAGCCACAAGUGCAGCAAUAG
rnacentral:rRNA from 1 species